UACAGAGGGUCUCAAGCGUUGUUCGGAUUCAUUGGGCGUAAAGGGUGUGUAGGUGGCGCCGUAAGUCAGGGGUGAAAUCCUGGAGCUCAACUGCCAGAACUGCCUUUGAUACUGAAGAUCUUGAGUUCGGGAGAGGGUGAGUGGAACUUGCGAGUGUAGAGGUGAAAUUCGUAGAUAUUCGCAAGAACACCAGUGGCGAAGGCGGCUACUGGCCCGAUACUGACGCUGAGGCACGGAAAGCGUGGGAGCAAACAGG
rnacentral:rRNA from 1 species